rnacentral:rRNA from 1 species
CCUACGGGCGGCAGCAGUGGGGAAUUUUGCGCAAUGCUCGAAAGAGUGACGCAGCGACGCCGCGUGAAUGACGAAGGCCCUCGGGUCGUAAAGCUCUUUCGACAGGGAAGAAAAUGCCUAUAAGUAACUGUGUAUGUAUUGACGGUACCCGUAUAAGCAGCCCCGGCUAACGCCGUGCCCGCAGCCGCGGUAGUACGCAGGGGGCGUGCGUUGUUCGGAGUGACUGGGCGUAAAGAGCACGUAGGCGGUGGUGUAAGUCAUUAGUCAAAGACUAGAGCUCAACCUUAGUAAGGCUAGUGAUACUGUAAGACUAGAGUAUCAGAGAGGAUUGCAGAAUUCCUGGUGGAGCGGUGAAAUGCGUAGAUAUCAGGAAGAAUACCGUUAGCGAAGGCAGCAAUCUGGCUGGAAACUGACGCUGAGGUGCGAAAGCGUGGGUAGCGAACAGGAUUAGAUACCCCAGUAGUC